rnacentral:rRNA from 1 species
AGCGAACGCUGGCGGCAGGCCUAACACAUGCAAGUCGAACGAACCUUUCGGGGUUAGUGGCGGACGGGUGAGUAACACGUGGGAACGUGCCUUUAGGUUCGGAAUAACUCAGGGAAACUUGUGCUAAUACCGAAUGUGCCCUUCGGGGGAAAGAUUUAUCGCCUUUAGAGCGGCCCGCGUCUGAUUAGCUAGUUGGUUGAGGUAAUGGCUCACCAAGGCGACGAUCAGUAGCUGGUCUGAGAGGAUGAUCAGCCACAUUGGGACUGAGACACGGCCCAAAAUCCUACGGGAGGCAGCAGUGGGGAAUCUUGCGAAAUGGGCGAAAGCCUGACGCAGCCAUGCCGCGUGAAUGAUGAAGGUCUUAGGAUUGUAAAAUUCUUUAACCGGGGACGAUAAUGACGGUACCCGGAGAAGAAGCCCCGGCUAACUUCGUG